UUAAACUUCAAAAAUCAAUAUUUGAAAAUGAAAAAUUCAAAUAACAAUAAAAACAUUCUAACAAUUAUGAGAAAAUACUCAUCCAUAUUAUCUUCAUUGCUCUCAUUUUCUUCUUCAUCCUUGCCUCUUACUUCUUAUCCUGCUCCAAAUCGGCCAACACUGCCGUAUUCAUCAAAACCUUGAUUUCAUCCAUUGAACCAUGAUUUUGGUUCCUUUUUGAGAAUAUAUAUUCUCGCAUACGUUCUUG
rnacentral:lncRNA from 1 species